UGAGGCUGGUCACUCACGCUGUUGGCAGACGCUUUCUGCCCAGGUCCCUGGGGGCUGCGGGGCUUUCUUUCCAGGCUCCACUCUGCUGGUGUUUUCUCAGUGUGAGCAAGGGCGCUCUUUCUUUAUCGCCCCUCACAUUUCAAGGAGGCCGAGUUGCUGCCUCCUCCCUCCAUUCCUUCCUUCUGCUUCCUCUUGCUUUUCGUGGACUAGCUAGUUCCUCCGAAGGCCCACUUGAUGCAGAGAAAACGGAGCGGUUCCCUUUGUCUCUAAUUGAUGCCGCGCUCUCAUCCUGCUUCCGAGUGGCAUGCUCACUCGGUUAUUUAACAAAUUACUCCACAGUCCUUGUUAGGACUAUUGACAUUUACAGCUAACCAGCCCCUACAGUUAGGGGCGAUGUGGUGACUGACUUGCACAGUCUUCCUUCCUUUUAUUUCAGUCCUGCGAUGGGGAAACAGGUGUCAAACAAUGAGAUCCUGGAAGCUCCCCUGCUGUGGCAGACAUCAUGAAGCUACAGACUGCUGAGUUAUGGAGAAAUGUGGCAGGACGGUGGCGUACAAUGGGAGAACUCAGGACAGUGACUGCACCCAUGAUAAAAAUAGCCGUGUGGAUAAGAAGUACACAUGAUGAACUGGUGCCAUGACACUUCUGAUCUAAGGGAUACUGCUGACCCAGGGAAUAAACCUAGGUCACCUGAAUUGCAGGCAGAUUCUUUAUCGAUUGAGCCAGCAGGGAAGCCCUCUGAGACUGUAUUCUUGCUUAAAUAAAC
ensembl:lncRNA